rnacentral:rRNA from 1 species
UACGUAGGGACCAAGCGUUGUUCGGAUUUACUGGGCGUAAAGGGCGCGUAGGCGGCUUAACAAGUCACUUGUGAAAUCUCCGGGCUUAACUCGGAACGGCCAAGUGAAACUGUCAAGCUAGAGUGCAGAAGGGGCAAUCGGAAUUCUUGGUGUAGCGGUGAAAUGCGUAGAUAUCGAGAGGAACACCUGCGGCGAAGGCGGGUUGCUGGGCUGACACUGACGCUGAUGCGCGAAAGCCAGGGGAGCGAACGGG